GUGUCGAGCAACUCCCGUCUCUUCAACUGAAAUGAAACUGCCUCGCUCAUGGAUGUGUGAAUCCGCUACCGAGCGUCAGCCUUGCGCUUUCACAUUGUACUUUGCAGCCAUUGGCAAUCAAGAAAGGGGUGUGUAAACAAAGUGAAUGCCGUACCACAAGGGCCUGCUGGGUGACUGUUCCAGACAACACUAAUGGAGAGGUGGUGACUUUUAUAGGAAGUUGCUUUUAAGAGGGUGUCAGACAUCAUUUUGAUCCUAGAUAGCAUGAGAGCUUGUCAGGAAAAAAUUGAUUUCAGUCCUAAACCAACAGAUGGCAGUAUGUCUUAAAGAAAAGACCAGGAUGCAGACUGUUUUACGCACACUGUAACACUACAGCAAGUGAGAUGUGAGAAGUUUGAAAAUGCACUGAAUUUAGCUUGAGACCUGUCAGUAAGUUUCUGUAGAAUUCUCUCUAGGUGUGAUCUUUUUUAUUCUCAGGGUCUAUCAGAGAUGACAUCCGGUCACCUCCAGCAGGACAGGCGCGGAUGUCGCCCAUGAAUAAAGCGGUGUAGAAUCUACACAUGGAAAAUGUGGGCUGUGGUUUUCUUUCUGUGGACUCUUCUUGGCAAAAAACUGCCUUAAUUAAAAAAAAAAAAAAAAGGAAAAAUGUUAACUGUUCCAAACAUAUGUUCCCAAACAUAUGGGCAGCACUUUGGGUUGGUCCCCCAACCUAUGUACAGACCUAUCAUACUACUGUAAUUAUCAAUUAUUUUCUCCACAUUCAAUCUGUAUAGAAGCAGGUUAGAUAUAAAACAGCGGAGGAAAAUAUGUCAUUCUGGUUAAAUAGAUCACAAACAUUUAUUGUAGCUUGUGUUCUAAUCAGCAUCAGUUUGAACAAGGCUGCUGCUAUUUGUUGAGACUUUUAAGAGUGCCAUUAUGGGUGGUAUUGCCAGUUGUAUCCGUGCACUUGUAUAGAAUUCUGCUACACUCAUUUUUAUGACAGCAAUUGAGUUUCUGCUUGCACUGUAAAAAUGUUUAGUUGCAUAAGACUGUAUUGUGCAAUCAUUCUAUAUAGGGAAUCAUGGGAAACAGUUCAUUAAUAGGGAGGAGGCCAUGUCACAUUUCUUAAAACACUCAAGUU